rnacentral:lncRNA from 1 species
UUCUUCUCAGCAGCUUUCCUUUCUUCCUUUCUUUUCUUUUUCACAAACUUCCUUUUAGGAGUUCUCUCCUUCCCAAUCUCAUAAAGUUUACCAGAUGGUACAACAUCUUAUUUGUCAAGCUUGUUGCUUGCCUCGGGAACCCUAGAUUUAUUUGUUGUUGCUUUCUUCCCUAACUUGUCUCCAAGCAUUCUAACCUCAUUAGCACUUGAAACAAAUUCA